rnacentral:rRNA from 1 species
AUCAACGCUGGCGGGCGUGCCUCAGACAUGCAAGUCGAACGGUGAAACCCCUUCGGGGGGGAUCAGUGGCGAACGGGUGAGUAACACGUGAGCAACCUGCCCCUGACUCUGGGAUAACCCCGGGGAAAACCGGAGCUAAUACCGGAUAUGACAUCUUCGGGCAUCCGAUGGGUGUGGAAAGAUUUAUCGGCUGGGGAUGGGCUCGCGGGCCUAUCAGCUUGUUGGUGGGGUAAUGGGCCUACCAAGGCGACGACGGGUAGCCGGCCUGAGAGGGCGACCGGCCACACUGGGACUGAGACACGGCCCAGACUCCUAACGGGAGGCAGCAGUGGGGAAUAUUGCGCAAUGGGCGAAAGCCUGACGCAGCGAACGCCGCGUGAGGGGUGAAGGCCCUUCGGGUUGUAAACCUCUUUCAGCAGGGAAAGAAAGCGCAAGUGACGGUACCUGCAGAAGAAGCACCGGCUAACUACGUGCCAGCAGCCGCGGUAAUACGUAGGGUGCAAGCGUUUGUCCGGAAUUAUUGGGCGUAAAAGAGCUCGUAGGCGGUUUUGUCGCGUCUGCUGUGAAAAACUCGGGGCUUAACUCCGGGCCUGCAGUGGGUACGGGCAGACUAGAGUUGCGGUAGGGGAGACUGGGAAUUCCUGGUGUAGCGGUGAAAAUGCGCAGAAUAUCAGGAGGAACACCGGUGGCGAAGGCGGGUCUCUGGGCCGUAACUGACGCUGAGGAGCGAAAAGCGUGGGGAGCGAACAGGAUUAGAUACCCUGGUAGUCCACGGCCCGUAAAACGUUUGGGUGCUAGGUGUGGGGCUCUUUCCACGGGUUCCGUGCCGCAGCAAAACGCAUUAAGCGCCCCGCCUGGGGAGUACGGCCGCAAGGCUAAAACUCAAAGGAAUUGACGGGGGCCCGCCACAAGCGGCGGAGCAUGCGGAUUAAUUCGAUGCAACGCGAAGAACCUUACCCAAGGCUUGACAUGGGCAGAAAAUCCGGCAGAGAUGUCGGGUCCGUAAGGGCUGCUCACAGGUGGUGCAUGGUUGUCGUCAGCUCGUGUCGUGAGAUGUUGGGUUAAGUCCCGCAACGAGCGCAACCCCUCGUUCUAUGUUUGCCAGCACGUGAUGGUGGGGACUCAUAGAAGACUGCCGGGGUCAACUCGGAGGAAGGUGGGGGAUGACGUCAAAUCAUCAUGCCCCUUAUGUCUUGGGCUUCACGCAUGCUACAAUGGCCAGUACAAAGGGCUGCGAGACCGUAAGGUGGAGCGAAUCCCAAAAAGCUGGUCUUCAGUUCGGAUCGGGGUCUGCAACUCGACCCCGUGAAGUCGGAAGUCGCUAGUAAUCGCAGAUCAGCAACGCUGCGGUGAAUACGUUCCCGGGCCUUGUACACACCGCCCGUCACGUCACGAAAGUCGGUAACAACCCGAAGCCGAUGGCCCAAACCCCCUUGUGGGAGGGAGUCGUCGAAGGUGGGACUGGCGAUUGGGACG